AAGAUUGCGCAAUGGAGGGAACUCUGACGCAGCGACGCCGCGUGAGCGAUGAAGGUCUUCGGAUCGUAAAGCUCUGUCCUUGGGGAGGAAGGUCUUCGGACUUGACGGUACCUAAGGAGGAAGCCCCGGCUAACUACGUGCCAUCAGGCGCGGGAAGUCGUAGGGGGCAAGCGUUGUCAGGAAUUAUUGGGCGUAAAGGGUGCGUAGGCGGCCGUUUGAGUAAGAUGUGAAAGCCAACGGCUUAACCGUGGGACUGCAUUUGAAACUGGAGGGCUUGAGUAUCGGCGAAGGUAGUGGAAUUACCAGGGUAGCGGUGGAAUGAGUAGAUAUUGGGAGGAACACCAGUGGCGAAGGCGACUACCUGGACGAAAACUGACGCUGAGGAACGAAAGCUAGGGGAGCAAAC
rnacentral:rRNA from 1 species